GCUGGGCAUGGUGGCACAUACCUGUAAUCUCAGUGACUUGGCAGGCUGAGGCAGGAGGAUUGAGUUUUGAGGCAAACCUGGGCAACAUAGUGAGAUCCUGUCUCAA
rnacentral:sRNA from 1 species